AGAGUUUGAUCCUGGCUCAGGAUGAACGCUGGCGGCGUGCCUAAUACAUGCAAGUCGAGCGAACAGACGAGGAGCUUGCUCCUCUGACGUUAGCGGCGGACGGGUGAGUAACACGUGGAUAACCUACCUAUAAGACUGGGAUAACUUCGGGAAACCGGAGCUAAUACCGGAUAAUAUAUUGAACCGCAUGGUUCAAUAGUGAAAGACGGUUUUGCUGUCACUUAUAGAUGGAUCCGCGCCGCAUUAGCUAGUUGGUAAGGUAACGGCUUACCAAGGCAACGAUGCGUAGCCGACCUGAGAGGGUGAUCGGCCACACUGGAACUGAGACACGGUCCAGACUCCUACGGGAGGCAGCAGUAGGGAAUCUUCCGCAAUGGGCGAAAGCCUGACGGAGCAACGCCGCGUGAGUGAUGAAGGUCUUCGGAUCGUAAAACUCUGUUAUUAGGGAAGAACAAAUGUGUAAGUAACUAUGCACGUCUUGACGGUACCUAAUCAGAAAGCCACGGCUAACUACGUGCCAGCAGCCGCGGUAAUACGUAGGUGGCAAGCGUUAUCCGGAAUUAUUGGGCGUAAAGCGCGCGUAGGCGGUUUUUUAAGUCUGAUGUGAAAGCCCACGGCUCAACCGUGGAGGGUCAUUGGAAACUGGAAAACUUGAGUGCAGAAGAGGAAAGUGGAAUUCCAUGUGUAGCGGUGAAAUGCGCAGAGAUAUGGAGGAACACCAGUGGCGAAGGCGACUUUCUGGUCUGUAACUGACGCUGAUGUGCGAAAGCGUGGGGAUCAAACAGGAUUAGAUACCCUGGUAGUCCACGCCGGAAACGAUGAGUGCUAAGUGU
rnacentral:rRNA from 1 species